GAAACCUGGUUGAUCCUGCCAGUAGCAUACGCUUGUCUCAAAGAUUAAGCCAUGCGCGUCUAAGUAUAAGCGAUUAUACUGUGAAACUGCGAAUGGCUCAUUAUAUCAGUUAUAGUUUAUUUGAUGGUCCUUGCUACUUGGAUAACUGUAGUAAUUCUAGAGCUAAUACAUGCGUAAGAACCCAACUUUACGGA
rnacentral:rRNA from 1 species